rnacentral:lncRNA from 1 species
ACGUUACCAAACUUGGCUAAGCAUCAGAAACUUUAAAACACACACACACACACAACCAUUUUUUUUUUAAAAAAAAUCAUGAAAAUUAAAAAAAAAUAAUAAAGGAUUCAUUGAUAAUUCUAACUCAGACUUUAACAAUGGCAGAAGUUUACUAUGCGCAGAUACUGUGAAAUGCCCACCAGUGUUACAGCUUUGUUAUAGCAGGUAAAUGCCAUGUUGGGCAACGAUGUCAUAGAUUUCUGCUCCUCUUCGCUUUUAAUGAAUAACGUGACCGUUAACGCAAGUAACUCUUAUUUAUUGUCCACCCCUUUUCUUUUUCCUCAAGGAAAAGACUCUUCCAAAUGCCACCACAUGAACAGCUCUGCGGAAGCCCGUGGAAAGUUAAACUAUUUAACGUGAAAUCCAUUAACUGGAAUAAUUGAGUUUCUUUAUUUUUACAAUAAAUUCACUGAGUAAAUAAUUUGGAGCUGGAAUUCUGAGCUUUGUGUUUGGACUAUCGGAUCAGUAGCUAAAGGACAGUGCUAGGAAGGAAUAUUUAUUUAAAUCUAGUUAAUUUGUCAGUUGGGUUUCUCGCCAAGAGGAAAAAAAAAUGUUUAAAAAUCCUUCCAGAGUCUAACUUCCAGCCAGGACAGAAAUGUUUAGAAUGGUGCCUAAGCCCCAUUGCCGUAAACAUGGCUUUGUCUGAGGACCCCACCAUCAGGAAGGCAUUAGCUUGUGAAACCUGCCCCUACCCCCUACCCCCGAUCCCCGACCCCCACCAUCUCAUUUCACCUUGCAUGUGAGACAGCAAAACAAAGAUCCACAAACUGUGUGAACUAAUUAAUAUGCUGGCUGCUACCUUGCAUAAAUUAAUGAUUUGAUCACACGGGUGUUUCAUGAGGUUACAUCUGUGAAUAGCCUGUUUUCCACAUGUAAAUUUGUGCCUUACACUCUGAGUUGUAUACACUUGUAAACUGUCGUUAUGAUCAACUUUCUUUUCCUACUUGAAAUAAAGGCAGAUAUUUAUUU